rnacentral:misc_RNA from 1 species
AUCGGAAAGCUCAGAUUUUUUUCCGUUUGAAACCAUACCUUUAAAGACCCAGAAGCUCUGAUCUAUUUUUUAUCAUCCAAAAUCCCAGACUAAAUUGUUUGAAAUGCAUUUGGGUGUGAGAGAUGGAUAUUUGUCCCAAUUCAUUUUGAUUAAAUUCGCGGAUUUAAAGCUUCAAGGAAUUUUUCUGUUUGGGUUCUGGGAUAGUGUAAUUCUUGAAAUUUCACUUGGGUUGGCCUUAAAUUGUUAAUUUAUUGAACUGGAGACGGGUGGAUAUUUGGCUUCCUUAAAUUGUUUACUUUUUGUUCCUUCGUUUGCUUUCCUGGCUUCCAAAGAUGCCUUUUGCCGCCCUCAGAAUUUUCAAUUUGUUAUGACAAAAGAUAGAAUAUGAUAUGAGCACAGAGAUUAGAUUGGUAAAUUUUGGAGUUCUGGUAGAUUUCACCCUCCAAUCUAUAGGAAAUGAAUGUCUCCACAAAAUCUUUUGGUGUUUAAUUCUUAAUGGAUGACCAGAUUCAGUUUUAUUUUGUGUGUUUUUACAUAGCUGAUGUUUCCUUUUUUAGUAUUGGUCAUUAAACUAAUUCUGUUUGAUUGUUUUCCUCAUAGAAUGGAAUCUCUUCCGGAUAAAAUUGUUCAGUGCAUAUUGUCGCAUGUGAAGAAGGCCAAGGAUGUGGCACUUUGUACUUGUGUAUCAAGGCGAUGGAAGGACUCAUUGCCUUAUAUCAAAAGCCUGUACUUCCCUCGCAACUCUUUUGACAACCACACUGGCAUCGAUCACCCCGAUGGCAUUGUGUUCAAGAUGAUAUCUUCCAUUUUCCAAUUAGAGGAGCUCGUUGUGUAUAGCCCUUUCUCAAGCACAGGGCUUGCCUCAUGGCUACUACUUGCAGGUUCAUCCCUCAAACAUCUUGAGCUCAGAAUGGACAAUCUUGCUGAAUACCAAACCUGCGUUGAAAGUCCCUCAAAAUUGGAUUGCAUCAAUGCUGCAAAAAAUUUGGAAUCCUUAAAGCUUUGGGGAGUACUGAUGAUAAACUCACCCACGUGGAAUGUCUUUCCAAAACUUCAAAACCUUGAGAUUGUAGGUGCUAGAUUGGAAGAUCCUGCACUAUGUGCUGCUCUUCAGGCAUGUCCUAAUUUGAAAAACUUGCUGCUGCUUGGUUGCGAAGGGAUAAGAUCUGUUUCAAUUCAGCUACCACAUUUGGAGCAGUGUAAGCUGGACUUUUACGGCUUGGGUAACUGCUCACUUACAAUAACUUGUCCAAAAAUUGAACUCCUAGAGAUACAAGGUUGUAGUUGGAUCAGGGUUCGAGAGACAAGCUGCUUGAGGAAACUUUCAAUUUCCAAUAAUGCCGGGAGAGUCUACAUGGUAGAUUUUGGGAAACUUGCUGCUUUAGAAUUCUUGUCUGUUAGAGGAGUCCAGUGGUGUUGGGAUGCAAUAAGCAAAAUGCUUCAGUGGGCAAGUGAGGUGAAGCAUCUAUACAUGAAGGUUGAAUUUACAGGGGACUUUGAUGCCCUUCAGCCCUUUCCAGAGAUAGACUUCGUUGAUUUUUUUAACAGCCAUUCCAAAUUACAAAAGUUUGAUAUCCAUGGAGCCAUGUUUGCUGCUCUUUGCCAAAGGAACAGCCUGAAAAAUGUGGAGUCUGGCUUCGUAAUCCCUUGUCUGGAGGAGGUAGUUAUCACAGUCAGAUCACCCUUAAAUGCUGAACAGAAAAUGAGCACCCUUGAGUCUUUGUUGAAAUAUGGGAAGAGCAUGAAGUCAAUGGUAAUAAGGAUACUUCAGAUGAAGAGCAACCAUAACAGUGCAGAUGAUUUCUUUGAUGAUAUCUGCAGGUUUCAAUGCUUGAAUCGCAAGAUUGUUCGAAUAGAAUAAAAUUUGCAUGGUGACCAGCAAUUCAUUCCCUUAUUUAUGUAGGGUGAAUACAUAUUCUGUUCACUGAUGACUGAUCAACAGUUUUGACCACUGAUUUGAUUUAAACCUUGGUCAUUCUUUAAAGAUUGGACUGGUAACAAUGAUUUCAAAUUUUAACAUGCAGAAUCAGGGUAGAAUAUUGAAUUUGCUUCUUUUCCUUAGUCAUUUCAGUACAUAUCUAUUUUCUACUGGAAUACCAUUAUCAAAAUAACUGAGAUGCACAUGCUUACAUUUAUAAAACAUAGCUACACGUCAUUGGAACUUGAUUAUGGAUAUUCGCAGUUCACAUGUCAUUUACAGAAGGGAUAGUGAGACAAAACUACCACACAAAAUGGUGGCCUGCAGGCUGCAAUCUAUGCUUGCCAUUCUCUAUGUUUUACACCUUGAAUGAUGUGGAUGAUAUUAGGAGCUGCUGCAUUUUCAUUCUGCAUAAAGAAGCUUGAUUCGACUUUAAGCACUUUAAGCGUAUGCUUUGUUGCUCCCUUUUGAUCGUUCAUCAUUAUCUGGUACUUAUUCAAGAAAUGAUGCCUGCAUUCCCUUUAUGGGACUAAAAUGUUAUUAUUGCUGGUAAGAUUGUCUGGAUUUCUUGACCUGUAGGUCCCAUUGUCAUCCUUUCUUUUGCACAUAAAUAAUCUUAAUUAAUUAAUUGAUUACUUUAUGCAUUUUAUAGAGCAAGUCAUUUAUAGUUUCUUUUCUGUUUUGUCAAUACUA